AUUGAACGCUGGCGGCAGGCCUAACACAUGCAAGUCGAACGCGUGGCGGACGGGUGAGUAAUGUCUGGGAAACUGCCCGAUGGAGGGGGAUAACUACUGGAAACGGUAGCUAAUACCGCAUACCUUCGGAUGUGCCCCGAUGGGAUUAGCUAGUAGGUGGUGUAACGGCUCACCAAGUCGACGAUCCCUAGCUGGUUUGCGAGGAUGACAGGCCACACUGGAACUGAGACACGGUCCAGACUCCUACGGGAGGAAGCAGUGGGGAAUAUUGCACAAGGGGUGCAAGCCUGAUGCAGACAUGCCGCGUGUAUGAAGAAGGCCUUCGGGUGGUAAAGUACGUUCAGCGAGGAGACGUUACUCGCAGAAGAAGCAACGGCUAACUCCGUGCCAGCAGCCGCGGUAAUAC
rnacentral:rRNA from 1 species